GGGUUGUGAGGUUAAGCGACUAAGCGUACACGGUGGAUGCCCUGGCAGUCAGAGGCGAUGAAGGACGUGCUAAUCUGCGAUAAGCGUCGGUAAGGUGAUAUGAACCGUUAUAACCGGCGAUUUCCGAAUGGGGAAACCCAGUGUGUUUCGACACACUAUCAUUAACUGAAUCCAUAGGUUAAUGAGGCGAACCGGGGGAACUGAAACAUCUAAGUACCCCGAGGAAAAGAAAUCAACCGAGAUUCCCCCAGUAGCGGCGAGCGAACGGGGAGGAGCCCAGAGCCUGAAUCAGUGUGUGUGUUAGUGGAAGCGUCUGGAAAGGCGCGCGAUACAGGGUGACAGCCCCGUACACAAAAAUGCACAUGCUGUGAGCUCGAUGAGUAGGGCGGGACACGUGGUAUCCUGUCUGAAUAUGGGGGGACCAUCCUCCAAGGCUAAAUACUCCUGACUGACCGAUAGUGAACCAGUACCGUGAGGGAAAGGCGAAAAGAACCCCGGCGAGGGGAGUGAAAAAGAACCUGAAACCGUGUACGUACAAGCAGUGGGAGCCUCUUUUAUGGGGUGACUGCGUACCUUUUGUAUAAUGGGUCAGCGACUUAUAUUCUGUAGCAAGGUUAACCGAAUAGGGGAGCCGAAGGGAAACCGAGUCUUAACUGGGCGUUAAGUUGCAGGGUAUAGACCCGAAACCCGGUGAUCUAGCCAUGGGCAGGUUGAAGGUUGGGUAACACUAACUGGAGGACCGAACCGACUAAUGUUGAAAAAUUAGCGGAUGACUUGUGGCUGGGGGUGAAAGGCCAAUCAAACCGGGAGAUAGCUGGUUCUCCCCGAAAGCUAUUUAGGUAGCGCCUCGUGAAUUCAUCUCCGGGGGUAGAGCACUGUUUCGGCAAGGGGGUCAUCCCGACUUACCAACCCGAUGCAAACUGCGAAUACCGGAGAAUGUUAUCACGGGAGACACACGGCGGGUGCUAACGUCCGUCGUGAAGAGGGAAACAACCCAGACCGCCAGCUAAGGUCCCAAAGUCAUGGUUAAGUGGGAAACGAUGUGGGAAGGCCCAGACAGCCAGGAUGUUGGCUUAGAAGCAGCCAUCAUUUAAAGAAAGCGUAAUAGCUCACUGGUCGAGUCGGCCUGCGCGGAAGAUGUAACGGGGCUAAACCAUGCACCGAAGCUGCGGCAGCGACACUAUGUGUUGUUGGGUAGGGGAGCGUUCUGUAAGCCUGUGAAGGUGUGCUGUGAGGCAUGCUGGAGGUAUCAGAAGUGCGAAUGCUGACAUAAGUAACGAUAAAGCGGGUGAAAAGCCCGCUCGCCGGAAGACCAAGGGUUCCUGUCCAACGUUAAUCGGGGCAGGGUGAGUCGACCCCUAAGGCGAGGCCGAAAGGCGUAGUCGAUGGGAAACAGGUUAAUAUUCCUGUACUUGGUGUUACUGCGAAGGGGGGACGGAGAAGGCUAUGUUGGCCGGGCGACGGUUGUCCCGGUUUAAGCGUGUAGGCUGGUUUUCCAGGCAAAUCCGGAAAAUCAAGGCUGAGGCGUGAUGACGAGGCACUACGGUGCUGAAGCAACAAAUGCCCUGCUUCCAGGAAAAGCCUCUAAGCAUCAGGUAACAUCAAAUCGUACCCCAAACCGACACAGGUGGUCAGGUAGAGAAUACCAAGGCGCUUGAGAGAACUCGGGUGAAGGAACUAGGCAAAAUGGUGCCGUAACUUCGGGAGAAGGCACGCUGAUAUGUAGGUGAAGUCCCUCGCGGAUGGAGCUGAAAUCAGUCGAAGAUACCAGCUGGCUGCAACUGUUUAUUAAAAACACAGCACUGUGCAAACACGAAAGUGGACGUAUACGGUGUGACGCCUGCCCGGUGCCGGAAGGUUAAUUGAUGGGGUCAGCGCAAGCGAAGCUCUUGAUCGAAGCCCCGGUAAACGGCGGCCGUAACUAUAACGGUCCUAAGGUAGCGAAAUUCCUUGUCGGGUAAGUUCCGACCUGCACGAAUGGCGUAAUGAUGGCCAGGCUGUCUCCACCCGAGACUCAGUGAAAUUGAACUCGCUGUGAAGAUGCAGUGUACCCGCGGCAAGACGGAAAGACCCCGUGAACCUUUACUAUAGCUUGACACUGAACAUUGAGCCUUGAUGUGUAGGAUAGGUGGGAGGCUUUGAAGUGUGGACGCCAGUCUGCAUGGAGCCGACCUUGAAAUACCACCCUUUAAUGUUUGAUGUUCUAACGUUGACCCGUGAUCCGGGUUGCGGACAGUGUCUGGUGGGUAGUUUGACUGGGGCGGUCUCCUCCUAAAGAGUAACGGAGGAGCACGAAGGUUGGCUAAUCCUGGUCGGACAUCAGGAGGUUAGUGCAAUGGCAUAAGCCAGCUUGACUGCGAGCGUGACGGCGCGAGCAGGUGCGAAAGCAGGUCAUAGUGAUCCGGUGGUUCUGAAUGGAAGGGCCAUCGCUCAACGGAUAAAAGGUACUCCGGGGAUAACAGGCUGAUACCGCCCAAGAGUUCAUAUCGACGGCGGUGUUUGGCACCUCGAUGUCGGCUCAUCACAUCCUGGGGCUGAAGUAGGUCCCAAGGGUAUGGCUGUUCGCCAUUUAAAGUGGUACGCGAGCUGGGUUUAGAACGUCGUGAGACAGUUCGGUCCCUAUCUGCCGUGGGCGCUGGAGAACUGAGGGGGGCUGCUCCUAGUACGAGAGGACCGGAGUGGACGCAUCACUGGUGUUCGGGUUGUCAUGCCAAUGGCACUGCCCGGUAGCUAAAUGCGGAAGAGAUAAGUGCUGAAAGCAUCUAAGCACGAAACUUGCCCCGAGAUGAGUUCUCCCUGACUCCUUGAGAGUCCUGAAGGAACGUUGAAGACGACGACGUUGAUAGGCCGGGUGUGUAAGCGCAGCGAUGCGUUGAGCUAACCGGUACUAAUGAACCGUGAGGCUUAACCUUACAACGCCGAAG
rnacentral:rRNA from 1 species